rnacentral:rRNA from 1 species
UACGGAGGGUGCAAGCGUUAUCCGGAUUCACUGGGUUUAAAGGGUGCGUAGGUGGUCAGGUAAGUCAGACGUGAAAUCCCUCGGCUUAACCGGGGAACUGCAUCUGAUACUGGAUGGCUUGAGUUCGGGAGAGGGAUGCGGAAUUCCAGGUGUAGCGGUGAAAUGCGUAGAUAUCUGGAGGAACACCGGUGGCGAAGGCGGCAUCCUGGACCGGCACUGACGCUGAGGAGCGAAAGCCAGGGGAGCAAACGGG